rnacentral:misc_RNA from 1 species
CAUAUGUAGAAAUGUUCAAUGAUGAAAACAACCGCCCCCGAGGUUGUGCUGUCAUCGAGUUUGAAUCAACGGAAUUAGUACAGAAGGCGGUGGAGAUCAUGCACAGAUACGAGUUAAAAGGACGUAAACUUGUUGUGAAGGAGAAAGCAGAUGAAUUACCCCUGGCCCAUUUGGCCCAGAUUCGGCUUGGAAACAGAAUGGACUUUGAUUCUGACCGUGAACGACACAGAGGAGGCAUCAUGAAAUCUGACAUGCGAGGAGGUCGUGAAUUUGCCCGUGGGGCAGAUAUUGGACCUCAGGGCAUGGCAAACAAAUUUGGCAAUACAUAUGGCUUGUCUACUGUAUUCCUUGAAUCUCUUGGCAUCACAGGACCACUUGUCAACAAAGUUUUUGUUGCUAAUCUGGAUUACAAAGUUGAUGAAAAAAUGUUGAAGGAUGUGUUCAAGAUUGCUGGAAAGGUUGUAUCUGUUGAAAUUAGUAAGGACCAAGAUAACAAGAGUCGUGGAUUUGGUGUUGUGGAAUUUGAGCAUCCAGUGGAGGCUGUACAAAGUAUUUCUAUGUUGCACAACCAGACAUAUUAUGACCGCAAGAUGAGUGUGCGCAUGGACCGUGUCUCUGAAAAGCAGGAAUCGACUGCAACGAAACUUCCUCCUGGCCUCAAGGGUCUGGGAAUGGGUUUGGGCAUUAAUGGGUCAGCCCUGACGGAUGUUGCCAAUAAUGUACCCUCCAUUAACCCAAGUAUCACAGGAGCUUUACCAAACGCUGUUGCCCAGGGUGUGUCAGGCAUGGCCAAUGUGGGUGCCAUGGCAUCAAAUAUGGGGAACAUGGGAGGUGGCGGAGGUGGUGGCCAGAACAUGGGGGGGAUGGGGAUGAUGGGCAUGGGAGGAGGAGGAAUGGGUGGAGGCAUGGACAACAUGAACAGUGGAAUGGGAGGGAAUAUGGGUGGUGGUGGAAUGGGUGGAAACAUGGGGGGAGGCAGCAUGGGAGGUAACAUGGGAGGCGGUGGUAUGGGUGGUGGAAUGGGUAAUGGGAUGAUGGGCAACAUGGGCAUGGGAACUGGCAUGGGGAACAUGGGCUCGGGCAUGAACUCGUCAAACAUGGGCUCAGGCCUGGGGGGUGGUCUUGGCAGUAGCCUGGGUGGCGGAAGUGGGUUCAUGAACUCCAACAUGAACCGAGGAGCCAUUGGAGCCAGCUCAGUAGGGAGUGGCUCAGGCAGUGGGUAUGGUUCCUAUGGAUCAACUGGGCUGUCUCGUGACUAUAACCAUUCCAGCAGCAGCAGUAACAACUACACCAGGAAUGUCAUUCAGCUGAGCAAUUUACCCAUGGAUUAUACCUGGCAAGCACUACGAGAUCUUUGCCGUGAGUUUGGAGACAUCAGGUUUGCUGAGAUCAGAUCGAAGGGCACUGGAACUGUGCGCUUCCAGACAGAGGCAGAUGCUCGUAGAGCAGUCGAAAUGCUCGACCGCCAGCGUCUGGAUGGAAGAAUCCUGGAUGUUUGCCAGCUUUAAUGCUAGUCAGAGGGGAGAUCACCGGGACUGUGUUGGGAUAGGGUCGCGACUCCACUUGGGAGUUGCACCUCCUUGCCACACGUCGAAAGGGAUGAGAGGGGCGUGUUUUAUACGAAGAAAGACAACUGACAAGCUGCAACCCAAGAUGAGCAUUGGAUCGAAGCAGGUGAGUGAGAGCAGAAGUGAUUGCCAAUGGUGGGUGUUGCCAUUUCUGUUUUGUUAGUUUAGUAUAGAGAAAAAAUUUGUAGUGCAGUUAGUUUAGUAUAGAACCCAGUUUAGCAUAUGCUAUAUAUUGAAUUCCUCACCCACACCAGCUGUGCUGAUGAUGGUAUCACAGGUACUGAAUGAUUGAUCAUAGUUUUAUUCACCAUGUGUGCAUUUGUAAAAGAAUGUAGGUGUAAAAUUAUUUCAAGUAUUAUUAAAUACUGUGAAUAGAAAUAAUGUUCAUUGAAAUGAAACACCAUUACUUGCUUGUAUUUAACAGUACUUGGAGAAUUGUCAUAUAUAUAUAAACAUUAAUACCAGGAAAUGUUUAUACAGAAAUACAGUUCUGAGAUCAACAUUUCCUACCGGAAUACGUAAUUUGAAAACUGUUUCUAAAAUAUUAUGAUCAAUCAUUUUGCUACAAAUUCAAUAUCUAGUGUAUAGAAUAGGAUUAAAAGUAGUUGCUAUAGUAAGAUGACUAGGUAAUAUGUGGAAUACAAGUAACCAUUUCAGUUGCAGAGUCAUUUUUGGGUUCUGUCAGUGAGGAGAGGGUGUAUGAUAGUAGACUUUUUUAUUCAUAAUCUUGUACUAUCUAGUUAAGAUCACUAGUGGUAGGAAGCAAAUUUGUAAACUUUUUAGGACUAGGAUUAGAGUAGCUAGUUUAAGAUAUACUUUUUUUUUUGAUGAAAAAAAUAAAAAAAAAUUGAAUUAUA